GUGUGUGUGGGGGAGGGGGGCAUAAGAGCCUUCCUCAGGCCACUCAGAAGGCUGCACAAUCUCAAAUGAUUGUUCCCUGAAAUUUCCAGUCAGUAUAUUUGAAUGGCAGGGGGCCUGCUGAUGUCCUCCCAUUACAAGGCCAGGGAUGGGGCACAUGCCUGUACUUCAGCACUUAGGAGACUGAACCUGGAGGGUCGGGAGUUAAGGCCACUCUCUGUUAUGAUACAGGAUACUUCAUCCUAAAUCAGUACAAGUGAUGGACACUAACCCUGACAGCUCCAGGACUUCCACUGACGAUGCUCCCUGGGCUUUCUGCUGGAUGCUAUGGACCAAGUAUGUCCUUUCCCUUCCACAAUGGCUGUGACAUCCCUUCACUAAAAACCGACUCAUUUGAGAAGUUGAAAGAGAAGAGAAAAAAGAGACAGAGAACAAGGCAUUUCCUCAAGAAAACCUAAGAACAAACAGUGCCGUAAAGGAGAAGGAUCAUCGUUCCAGUAUGCUUAAUUUCGACCCAAACCCUAUGACCAGCAGGAACAUCCAGGCACCGUCUGAUAGAGCACCCCAUUAAAACACCCCUCAACCCACACAUCAUGGCUGUGUCUCCUCCAGGAAGACAAUUUCUACCCUGGGGCUUGACCAGGAUUCUCUUCCAUCGCUUUGAGAAUGUCAGAGUUUAAAACUUCAAAGGUCCUUCAUGCAGUAACUCUACAAAAGUCUAUGACCACACACACACACACACACACACACACACACACACACACACACUCACACUCACAAACACACACACACAGACACACACACACUCACACUCACAUACACACACACACUCACAAACACACAGAGAGAGACACACACGCGCGUGCGAGCACGCGCGCACACACACACACAUACACACACACACACAGACACACACUCGAGCACACACACACACACACAGACACACACGCGAGCACACACACACACAGACACACACGCGAGUGCGCGCACACACAGACACACACACACAGACACACACGCGAGUGCGCGCACACACAGACACACACACACACACUCACAAACACACACACACACAGAGACACACUCACGUGUGCACACACAUACACACACACACAGAGACACACUCGCGUGUGCACACACACAUACACACACACAGAGACACACUCGUGUGUGCACACACACACACACACUCACACACACACAGACACACACACACACACAGAUUUCAUGCUACCUCGCCUGCUCGCCUCACUCUUCCAAGGACUUCUCCUUAAGAAGAAUGCUCCAGACCAUCAGGCUCCAGACCCCUGGGGACCAUGUCCCAGCUGACCAGGCUCCUUUCAGGAACUUCCCAAUACUUGGAGCCUCUUAUGUGCCACAAGAGUGCUGUGGAGUCUCUGCUUCAGAAGUCAGGAGUGCCCAGUCUCUUAAUGAGCUGAACCCAGGAGGUGAACACUGGACCCAGGAGGAUCAAGACUCAUCAAGAAGGAAGGCCUCUGGGCAAGUCACCAAGGAAUUGUCUACAUUGCAUUAAUUAAGAUGGUAAGACACACCCUAACUGUGUGGGACAGUUCGUGGGCUGGGGUUCCUGCUGAGCAAUAGCAUCCGUUGCUCUCUGUUUUCUGACUACAAAUGCCGUGUGACCAGCUAGCUCACCCUGACUGCUUGCCUUUUCCCAUGGUGCCCGCAUCCUUUGUAGCCACAUACCCAAAAGCCUUCUUCCCUUAAGCUUCAGGCAUCUAUCUGGUCACAACCAUGGGAAAAGUAACUAAUCCACCUCGUGAGGCACAGCAAAAACUUGAGCAAUGGCGGCCAUGAUGUUCUAGUAGAGGGAGUGAGGCAGAGGCAAAGUUGUUCUGAGGGACUGCAUUUGGACUAAGAGGGAAGGAGUUUGUCAAGCGUGGCCCGGAGAGCUGGAAGACGGGGUUUUGCCGUCUCUGGGAUUAGAGAGACUGGAGGUAGAAGAGGAUUAGGAGUCAAGGUUCAAAAAUUUGACUUUUAGGCACAUUGAAUCUGAGAUGAGUGAUAACUGCCCACGCCUAUUAUGCACCAGGCCACCAGCCCUGACAGCCAAAGAGUGUGUUAGUGUCCCUGCCCUUUGAAUUGAGGUAACACAGUGGCCCUCAGAGCUGAAAUGUCUCACCCAUCACACACACACACAGCAGGUAAAUCGAAUCCACUAAGGACUCUAAAGAGAGCUGUCAGUUCUGAGUUGAAUGCUUUUCCUGGGACACCCAGCCGAAAGUGGCAGAGCUUCGAAGGCAGACAGCUGAAGGGAACCUCCUCUCCUGUGACCUCUGCACACCGAGAUUUAAGUCAAAACUUGCAGACUUUAAGGGAAUCUGUUCUAAAGGGAGAGAGGAACUCAAUCUCAAUCCUCUUAAAAAGCAGUGAGAGUUUUUCCCCCUCCCCUUAAAAACUAAAACAAAACCAAGGUGAGUCUAAGGCCAGCCUGCUGACUGCAUCAGAGGCAAAGACAAAAAGAGAAGAGAGGAGAAGUGGGCAGAAACCCCAAGUCAGUGGGCCAAGGGGCAGGCCUGGAGGCUCCCAUUAUCAGAGGUUAGUCGGGGGGGGGGGGGUUCUUAGCUGACUUAAAGAAAACUAAAAUGUUAAUUUUAGGUUCUUUGAUACGUUUUCCUGGAGAUAUUUUGUUCUGAUACAUCCAACAACAGCCAAAGAGAAAAGCUCAGAAGACAGACUUAAUAAAAAUAGCCGAGGAUCCAGGGCAACUGCACGUGAGCUCCAUUUUCUUUGUCCUGUUCAGCUCCAAAAGGCAGAUUACCAAGGUGCUGCAGCACCCACCCCAAGCAGAAUUUAGAGCGAGCUUCAACAUUGCAAAGCUCCUGCACUGGGGACUACUUCAGCUAAUGACUCUGAGCCCUGUUAAAACUCAGAUGUUUCUGAGAAGGAUACAGACAUGGACGUGCGAUUCACUUUGGAGGCCCUGAGCUUGCGGGAGUACCAUUAGGAAUCCUAAUAGCUCAUCUUGGGAAACUUCUUUUGGGCAGAUGCACUAGAAGCUUUGUGCUUCCAACUUGAGAGGUCCUUGAUGUUUAUGCCCAGUUCCAUCACUUAGCGUCGGUCAUCACUUGGUCUGUAGGACCCUGGUCAUCUCUGUGCUCCACAAAGAAAAUUCUUCCCAAAUGUAUUGAAGAUAAGCUGAUGGAGUGUGGCAAGAAACAACAAUUAUCUUGGAAAUCUUGGUAAGACACAUGUCUGCCCUAAGAUGCUGUGGACGGGAUCCCACUGAAACCCAGGAUCCUCUGGCAAAGUAAGUAGUGCUAGAGUCACCUUUCUGUAUGUGUGCAAUCUGAUACAGAAGACACCAGGUGAAGAAAGCUACUGGAGAUGUUCAGUGAUCCUAGAGCUGACUCUGUGUGAGCUGAAUAAAGAACUUUGAAAACCCACAAAAGGGGCCAAGGAUACUUGGGGAAAGAGCAAGGGGUUAUGGGGAGAGAAAGACAUAGCACAGAGGGGCGAGUGGAGCUCUGCCAUACAGUUCCUUGGUGGUGGUUGUGGGGUGGGUGGGAGACCAGAGGCCACUUCUAAAAGAAAUAAAAGGCCAGAAAGACAAAACAAACAAAACUCUUGGGAGGGACAGGGUGCCUCACAGAGUUCCCAGAAGGUCAGGGGGCACUUAGGUUCUGACCAAUCGGAGCAGACCAACCUCCCUGAAUUCCAGGAGCACCGAGCAGGCUUCAGGAGAGCCACACAUCACUGGUGUCCUUUGGAAAGGAAGCUUGCGAUGAUGAUACUGGAUAUUUAUACUAAGAGAUUUCUAAGCAUAUCACUAGAGGUGCAGCUUGGCUUCUUUUAGGAGCCACCUUGGCUCCUUCUAACUGUGCAGAGUAGAAUAAGAACACAGAGGGAUGAUUUUAAAGCUGCAGUUGAUACACAAAAAGGAACCAGAACUUAGAGCUUGGAAAUGCUCCACCUAUCAAUAACACUUAUUUGAAGGAAAAAAAAAAACAAAGCAAGUAUGUUUGGAAAGCAACACUAAAGAUGUGGCCAAGAGACUGUGUGAUAAGGAGAUUAAUAGAGAUAGGAACCAAGGACUUUAUCAGCUAUCUCAACAAAGCCUAGAAAAGGAGAAAGGAUCAGAGCAGCAGAAACUCUGCCAGUUACAACUAAUGGAAACAGAAAAGGGCAACAGAGUCUUCACCACCAGACUGGAGGAUGGUCUAACUACAACAGAAUCUUCAAAACCAGUGCAGAAGGACUAUAGAGGCAAUUCAGAGUUUGCCCAGGUUUUACAUGCUACAAUGCAGUGUAUGUGGGUUCCAGGGGUAAUUCUUCCUCACUCCCAAACAGCAGGGCAAGUACCCAGAAGACCUCUGUGAACACAGCAACCCCACAGAGAACCAUAGCAUGAGAAGUACCACCAGGAGGGCGACAGGGUGAUCAUUGCUCCAAUGGCUUGAUUCUCUGAGAGUGAAGCCCCAAGGCAUCUCUGAUUCUCAUGCUCUUUGCUGUGCUGGGUUGGGGCUGCUUGGAACCCACCAUCUUUUCCUCCUUUUCUCUUUCUGCCUGUCAGGAUGGAAAUGUGUGUCCCAUGUUCAUCCUUCCCCUGUUUUUUGGAAGUGCUUAAUUUGUUUGGUUUCAGGCGGUUCACAGCUGAAGAGGAAUUCAGCCUCAGGUUCACUCUCACUCAUAUCUGAUUGACUUGGUAAUUAGACAAAACUUUGGACUCGAGAUUUUAGACUUGAUACUGAAGUAAGUUUAAGCAUUUGGGGUUGCUGGGAUGGGGAAAAGUUCACGCACGUGAGAAGGAUGUAAUUUUGAGGUAGACCAGGAAGAAGGCAAUCUCUGAAUGCUUUUGUCUCCCCAAAUGAUCUGCUGAGAUCGUAGCUACUGCUGUGAUGGUCUUAGGAAGUGAGGGAUUUGGAAGAUGGGAGAUAACAAGAGUAGAAACCUUACAAGUUCAAUAAGUGUCUUUACAAAGGAGACACCACAGAGCAAUUCUGUUCUUUGCCCACUUUGUGAGGACUAAGUGACAGGAUGACAGUCUAAAGGCCUGGGAGAAAGCCUUCUCAGAAUCAGUCCAGGGCUGUGUCCCCAUCUCAGCCUAAAGGGGAGGGGGAAUAAACUCCUGCUCCUCUUAAGUCAUUUGGUAUUUAUGACAGUGGCCCAAACAGACUAAGUCAUUGUUGCUGUGGAUUGAAUGCGUUGCAAGACUAACUACCAGUGCCUCUGAGGGGACCGUAAUUGAAAAUACAGGCCUUGCACAUGUCAAGAGUUUUGAGAGUGGAUCCUUAAUUCAAUGUGACUUAUGCUCUUAGGAGAAGAGGAAAGAUUAAAGAGAAGAUAAUGAUGCAUGGCACUCUGUUGAGGAAAUCAAUGCCAGGAAUGGCCCAGCCAACACCAGACGUUGGGAGAAGCAACUAAAUGGGUCUCAGAAUCUUGGCAGCUUUCGAUUUCUGACCUCCAGAACUGUUAGAAGGAGUCUGAUCCAGAGAAUGCCAUCUGGGAGAGGGCUGAAAGCAUGGAGCUCCGUCUCCUCACUUGAGACUGAAGAUGAGAUCAAAUUCCAGUGGCCGCAGAGGUGAGGCUCCUACAACACCAAGAAGAAUGGCUGUUUCAAGGAAAUUCUUCGACAAACAUCAGUCCCCUUCUUCCCUUUUUCUUCCCCUUGCUUCUCUCCUACAUCUAAUAGUUUAAUAAGUCAGGGUCUCCCUGUUUCAGGUGGUGUUAAGGUAGACUCACAUUCAUUCAUUCAUUCAUUCAUUCAUUCAUUCAUUCGGAGACAAGCAGCAAGCUCACCGAUCCACAUGCCCCCAAAAGGCUUCAGGAAAGAAACCAGUAAAUACCACACUUUUAGGAAAGAGGGGAGGAUCUGGCAGAGAUGUUGUUUGAAAGGAACAGGAAACUAAUGUCAAGAAGGGGAAAUGCAUGGGCUCUCUGUCAAUAAUCUUUCAAAGUGACCCUAGCGUUUGAAACAAUCUGUGGUCUGAUUUACCCAGAUAAUUACAUUGGUUCUGCAUCUGGCGUAUCAGAGGACACAGGGCUGUGGUUCUGCGGACUUAACUGCCCUUUGCAAACUGACUUUUCUCCCAGAAUGAACUACACAGCAGUAGCUCCAUCCUAGCUCUACCAGGAGGGGACUCUACUGUACCCCUGCUAGCUGACAAGUCCAGACUCAGCCUCUGUGCCCCAUAAGUCUAGACGUGUAUGGGUUCAUCUCCAAACACUGGCAUGCCUGCUCCGUUGAUUAGAGUGUUAGGCAAGGGAGCCACCAGUAAACCCCAGCAGGAUUAGGUAGCUCUGUGUGUCUUCACAUCCACUUUUAACAUCACCAUUAUUUCGACCGAAAGCCCUAGUUAUUAGUUUUAUUAAAAGAGGGGCAAGAAGGAGGUGAAGGAGAAGCCACAGGCUUGUUUGCCCGGGCACGUUACUACAAGCCCCUCCUCAGUUCUCUUGAUUUAAGGGACAUUCUCAAAGGGAGAGGAAAGGCGUUUGGGGUUGUAUGGAAAAUUUGACUCAACCCAAAAAGCCAGCCAACACCACAAAGUGGAGUGGAGUCAAAUCAGAUAAAUAGAAAAAGGAAAAGAAUAUAAAGUAUCUCUGAAUGACAGUAUCAAAAAGGUUAAACGGCUUAGCUGAGCUGGUCCAGGACACAUGGAUUCCAGUCUUGCAUUCUCCUGGGAAGGCGCUUAGGUAUUGACUGUAGGGUGCCUCCCGUGCCCAACAGAAACACAAUCAAAACGUUCAAACCUUAUAUGUGGCUCUGGGUUCAGUGUCUUGAACUACCAAAAAUAAUGUUUGUAAUAAGUCGCCCACAUCUCCCGCUUAUUAUUCAUGUAACCUAGAUAUCUCAUGAAAACAAAAUGUCCAGGGCUGCACCGCCAGCGAGCGUGUGGAAACACCCCAACAGCCCCUGUCUUUGUGUCUUUGAUAUGCUGUGUUGUCUUUUUGCUAGAAUGGAAAAGGCUUAGUCCACUUUAGUAAGUAAACAGCAGCUGCCUUGGACACCUUCACCCGUGUGUUUGACAGAGCCCAGACUUGGAUCCCGAUAGAAUGUGGAGGUGUUUGAUGGACUAGCGGAAGGCGGCUUCGAUGACCAUUAGAAAGAGCUGGGUCAGAUGAGGAUUCCAGCCGGCGAUGCAUUCCGACACUUUCCACUCAAAGCACCCCAACAUUUAGUUGCGUUCUUGCACUUUCUAUGUUUAUACUUUUUUUCCUCUGAAAAUCUUUAGUUGGCAAAAUGGUGUUCUUGCAAGACAUAUUACCUAUGUAUGACCUGGAAAUGGUAACAUUUGUAAUAAUAUAUCUUGAAAGGUUCACCUAAGGAGAAAUCAAAGUGAACCAAACACUUUUCAAACCUCAAAAAUAGAUGACAGAUAGAUAGACAGACAGACAGAUAAAAUUUGGUUUAGCAAGCAUUUGGGGGUCAAUACUUGGAGACGAGAAACAAGAUAAAAUUUGAAGACCCCCAAGUCAAGCUGCUUAUCUUGUGCCAGAGCCAAGUUGGUAUUUUUCAAACAACAGUGAAUAUACAUUGAACAAGGAAAAGGAAGACAUAAAAGCUAGCUCCAUUUUCCACUUAAUUGGUCGGGGCCUAAGAAGCAGAGUCUAGAGGUUUUCAAGAGCUCACCAGCCCCUGUGCUAAGUUGAGGCCCAGACCUGGGCCUCUAAGUUGAGGCCCAGACCUGACUUACUGAACACUUGCCCAUUUCAGCAAAACUCAUGAUGGAAUUGGCUUUCCUGUGUCCUCUGUAACUAACCUGCUUUCCUGAUCACUCAGGCCUUUCUGAGCUCCAACCAGCAUCUUAAGCCUUUAAUCCUGAAGGCUGGAAUCACAUCUGCAGCCAUGCUGCAUGACCGGCCUCCAGCUUUGCCUUCCACCCUGCAGAGUGAGGAAGUUUCUGUUUCUGACAUGUUUCUAGGUUGGCAAAUUUACAAGUUUUGCUUCUCUUCUUUAUAUGGCUUUGUUUUUGGGUCUUUCUUCCCUUAAUAACGGGCUUAACACACUUUCUGUGCAAUGGAAAGGUCGAACAAACAGGCUCUCCACAAACGAUCCAUAGCAGCCAGCAGCCAGCAGCCAGUCACACCAUGAGCAUGCAGACAGACGUGUGGAAGCACACGUGGAGAAUGAUGCCCAGGAGUAAGCAGCCCUGACAGUAGAGCCAUGGCUGGGAAAAGGGAAGAGGGCAUGAGACAUGGAGACUGCAGAGAGUGGCCAAGCUACAGAAAAACAUCAGGGCAACUGGAGGAGAGAUCUGCUUCCCUGCUGUGCCACAAGAGCACCCUGAGGAAGUGGAGCUUUGCCAAGACUGCACACAAGUCCAAGUCGUUAGGUGGGGUGUGAAGGAGCAUGCCUGUAGCCCCAUCACUUGGGAGGCCGAGGGCAAGAGGACUGCUGUAAGUUCUAAGCCUGUAUGAGCUAUAUAGUAAGUCUUAGGCCAGCCUGGGCUACAAAGUGAGACUGUCUCAAAACAAAUAAACUAAGCCCCAAAACACUAACUAACAAUAGGGAAACAAUAAUUAAAUUUUAUAAAAAUCACAGUUACAGGGUCUGACCUAAACAGUUUAAACAACAGACCAUUACAGUUUGUUCAUGUAUUAUUGAUUCUUAAAAAUUUCUUAUCAUAUUCUAAUUUAGUGUGUGUGUGUGUGUGUGUAAAUCUGAGGAAAAUCUGUAGGAGAAAGUUCUCUCCUUCCACCAUGUAGAACCUGGGGGUUGAACUCAGGCUUGUUUCAAGUCAGUCUCAAAGCACAGCCAUCAACUGGGACUGAUGACACACAAUUAACUUUAAGGACUCCCAUGCAGGAGUGAAGCCGUGGUCAUGUGAGGUAUGUGCUCACAAUCCAGUUUGCUAAGACUGUAUUAUAUAAUCCCAUGUUGAACUGUGAAAAACUGCCACUCUGAUUAUUUUUACCUACAAAAAACAAGGGGCAAUUUCAUAUGGUUCUUUUUAUAUCUAUAAAUAGAAUAGUGUAAAGAUUUUCUUUGGACUUGAACAUCCGUCUAAUCCUGUGGAGUUUUCAGAUUCACUGCAUUUAAAAGCUAAACACUCAGGUAUCUGUUUUUCCUAGAGAUCUCCCAUUUACAUGGGUAUCAGGUGUCCUGUAGAUAUCCAGCCUCUCAUGCCAAGUGGUGGGAAGAUUUAACUCUAGUAUGAAAUCAAGGAUGUGAUUUCUGGUUAAGCCAGCAAACAUUUUGCACAGGAAAUGCUUCAUGUUUAGUGGCCAUGUCCCAUGUUUCUUGCCCUAACAGCAAACAAGAUUAUCUCUUGGUCCAAAGGAAAAUGAAGAAUGAAAAUAAACUGUUCACUUCUGAAAGAGCCAUUUCCCCUUCCCAGUGUUUAAGAAAGUCGCUUUAUUUGGCAACAUCUUUCUAGUAGGUAAGAGGGUGUAAGUCAAGCCUCACUUGGUCCCUCUAAGCUCUGUACCUUCAGAGGGGAUUGAACACCAUGACUCAGCCCCCUCUGCUUUAUGCUCUGUUCUUGAAUCCUGGAUGUAUGACUUCCGAAUACUCUUGGAACUGUUGGAGUACCUAACGGGUUAGCACGAGGCUUGCUGCAUUCUGCUUGAAUUUACCCAAGCCGUUAAAAGCACACAAAUAUGGAGCAAUGAGCUGAAAGUAUAGCAGACAUACAUCUGCUGCAGAAAACUCCCUAUUAUCACUACUUUUAUAUAAAUGAUGGCCAAUCGUGCAAACAGAGACAAGCCACUUAAUAAUUUCCAGUCCAGCAAACUUCUGCCCAACUUUAAAAUAAAGUUUUUUAUUCUCCUCUCAUCAGAAGUUUAGGAUGCAGCAAGCCUAAUGAGAAUGAGUUACCAGAAGGAGUAAAGCGUGUCCGCCGUCAACAGCACCACUAACCAUGUCCAUCAAGUGGUGUAGAGAUUAAGAAUAAAGAGGUUCAUAGUAACUUUAAGGCAACAUUCUCAGGGGAAAAAUAAUUUCCAAAUGUCUGGACUGCAAAUUGGCAAGAACUGGGACCAAGUCCUGAUCCUUCCACCGAUAAGCUCCAGGACGCAGAGCAGUCAGCUUCUCCCUCCCUGAAGGUCUUGAGAUCCGUGUUUUAUCUGGAUCUUUCUAUGUCAUAGUCAUCACAGUUUCCCAAGAAUAAAGUGGGAUUAUAUGGCAGCUUAGAUUCCUUCCAAAGGUGUCAUCGUUUCUUUCUUCUUAAUUAGCUGAUCUUGUUUGCCAAUUUCUCCCCAAGGCAUCAUAUUUAUUCCAGCAAAUUCCUAUUUAAAAGGCUCACACGUUAAUGAUUCUGUAUGCUUUAUCUGGAUUGGUAAAUUUAAACCCCCAUCCAGUAAUUUAUGUUUUAUUAAAACCAAUUCGGUUGAAGAGUUCUACCCCAAAAGCCCACAACUAAGUUUCUUGAGGGCAAAAUGCAGAUAAAAGGCUGCAUCAAAUCCCACCCGUGCAAACAAACAUGCAUGCAUGUGUACACUGUGAGUGUUUGCACAAUGGCAGGGAGACCACUGUGGCGUGAGGUAGGAAGGAACUCCAGGGAGACCAUUAGGACAACUCUAUUCUGGAGUAAAAUUUUCAGAGACAGGCCAGAAGUAGCUGGCGAUCAGUGAUGCCCAACCACACAGAACUGACUCUCUCACAUUCUGCCUCGUGUUAGGAGGAAGAGAGGAGUUCAUCUUGAGUCAGAUGUGCCAACCACAUCGGUAAUCCCAGUACUCAGCGGCAGGAGGAUGCCCGCAAAUUCAAGUCCAGCCUGGUCUACACAGUGAGUGCUGAGCCAGCCAGAGCUACAUAGCAGGACUCUGUAUAAAAUCAAAACCAGCAAAGGAAAGAAACAUGUGCUCUGUCAUCCACAGGUUCGGAAGAUGCUUUUAAAAACAUACAAGACGAGCCAGGACAGAAAGAUGAAAGGCCUAGGGAAAUGGCUGCAAAGAUGAACACAUUCUUAAAAAGGAGGAAAGAUGGCUAGGGAAGAGAACCAGGGAAGGAUAAAGAAAUAAAAAAAAAAAGAAAUAGAAAUACAAAGACAAGAGGGGGAAACUGAAACAUUAAGGAAAGAAAACACAUACAGGAAAAGACCAGUGAAUGGAGAAAAACUCUGCCUCGUAGCCCUGCCUUUCCUGGCCGUUACCACAGCACAGAAGAAUUCUAAAGUCCUCCCACAGUUCAAACCUGCAUGUCUCUUACUCAUCUUUUCUUUCUCUCAAAAUAUCAAAAGGACAAUCCACUCUGACCUAAUGGAGGCUCUUGCUGAUGUCCGAUUGCCUGCCUGCCUUGUACACACUGUUUCUCUUGGGUGACAGUCCUCUGGUGGUAAGUAAACAAUACUGUAAUGAGCAACACAGUAAGUUCGAGAAAUACCCAGAUUGGAGGACUGGGGGAGAGAGUGGGCUGUGGGCACUUUCUAUUGCUUUGGCCUUCAACCUGAUGCCUCCAUUACUAAGAAUGGAUCUUGAUGUCCCUUUUCAAGGUGUUGCAUUAGCAAGCAUACGGUGACUGUCCAGACUGCCCACCUACACUGCCCACCUAAAUGAACUUUAAAUGCGAAUUUCCAGCUACCAAAGUGUCCCUGGGCUGCUUGUCACUGUUUCCACAUAUCUGUAUAUAUGCACAUAUACAGGAAAGGGAAAAAGAUAUUCAAUGAGAUGAAAUAUUCACUUUAAUUAUUAAGUUCUUAUAAAGGGUAAUGGGCUCUUUGUACUAUCCCUGCAACUUUUCUAUAAUUUAAAAAAAUAUAUAAUGAAGUAGGAAGCUCUGAAAAGUUAUCACAGAAUGGAGAGACUAACCAGUUCCUUAAACAAACAGCCUAUUGUGUGCUUAACCACUCCUGACCACGCUGACAUCAAAGUUUUCAUCCUGCCAUUAGCAGAAUGCAAAGUGGAACAGGAAGGCAAAGGGUCCGGUGUGUGCUUUGGAAGCUUCCUGUCGGCUUUCAGGAGUGAUUGCAAGCCCUGUCAUCACUUGAAGGCACCAUUUCUCUAUCUUAAAAAAUCUCAAGCUUCAAACAAAAAUCUUUUGUUCCCAGUUCUAAUCAGCUUGACUCGGUGUGUCGACAGCUGCUGCCGAGGACCAAGAACUAAAGUCGAGGAGGGAAGCUGGGACUCUCCAGGUGGCUAGGUGUCCCCAGUUGUGGGAGACACUGGCAACACAUUCCUCAGUGGCACGGCAAGCUCGAUGCUUUAUGGUUUCUCCUGGCAGUUUGGGAAGGCUCUCCCAAGCCCUGAGGGACAUGAUGUUGAAUUACCUCUCAGAAAGCCAGCAGUGGUAUUUUGCGGUCAUGGCCAGAUUAUACGCACAGGCAUGGAUCACACCUUCUCACGAAAGUGAGUUUCUGGGGCUCAUGACUCAUUGUGUCUUCUAUUCAGAUAGGUAGCUUAUUGUGUUUGGCUGAGACACAAAAACAGGUGGCUUAACUGGUGGCACAAACAUGUGGUCUUUGUCCAUAGCCCAAAGGUGAUCACCUGCUGGGUCCUCUAUGGAAUUUCCACUCCCUGUGAGAAUCAAAAACAUAAUUGGGGGGAAAAAAGAUGCUGAGAUGCUGUUGUUCUCCAGGUGUUUCUUUGAGUUGGCCAACUUCCGCCCUCUCUGUUGUGUUUCCCAGGGAUGGGAGGUUUGCACUGGGCUGGUAAGUAGUGGGGUAAGCCUAGAUCAGUGAAAGGGAAGCAAUGCAACCAGUUAGACUGGAGAUCUUGUUCUGGGCUCCCUAGACAACUUCCCAUCUGUCUCAAGAGUGGAUCCUUCGAGGAGUCAGUACCAGGAUGGAGAUGCCUCAUCCGUUCAUCAGCCUGCACCUUGCCCUACGUUUUAGCAUCUGCUGAUUAAUGUGCCAUUCAAGAGAAUCUUCUGUAUUUCACUGAUCCCAUCUGCUCUUCUCCUGUAUAUCUGUAAAACUGAGGCAGUUCUAUCUGCUCCUACCCAAGGCUGAGUAUCAAUGUAACUUUUAUGUUGUGUGUUUCUUGUUCUGUGUUGCGUUUACAUGUUUGUAAGUGCAUGCACACAUGGAGUCCAGGGGUCCACCUCAACUGUCUUCCUCAAUUGUCUACACCCUAUUUUUUUUGAGGCAGUCUGAUAGGGGAUGUCCUUCUGUGAAUAUGCUUCUCUUAUUGGUUGAUGAAUAAAACAAUGUUGGCCAAUAAGGUAGGAUGAUAGGCAGGACUAGGAGAAGAGGAGAAUUCUGGGAAGUAUAGGCAGGGAGGGGUAGCCAUGUGAGCCACCAAAGGAGUUAAGAGGUCUGGACCCUUCUCUGGUAAGAUAAAACCAUGUGGAAAUACUUAGAUUAAUAGAAAUGGGUUAAUAAUUAAGACAGAGCUAGCCAAUAAGAAGCCCUAGUCAUCAGUCAACAGUUUUAUAAUUAAUAUAGUGUCUCUGUGUGUUUAUUUGGGGCUGAAGUGGUUGUGGGACCAGGUGGGGUGGAAAAUUGCUUCAACAGCAGUCUCUCAGUUAACCUUGAACUCACCAACUGCACUGGGCCGACUAGCCAUACUUCCCCACACUCAUCACUCUGCUUCCCCAGUCCUGGGCUCACAGGCAUGCAACAGCAUGCCUGGCUUUUUAUGUGGACAACAUGGGUCCAACACUCAGGGCCUCACCCAUCCCAGAACGCAUGUUGCCUAUUAAACCAUCUCCCAGCCCUUGACAGCAUUUUUUUUUUUAACAUUUCAAUAUAUAUUGGUCAGGUCUUGGCAGCAAACAGAAGAAAUACAUUCCAAAUUCAAAAAGAAAGGAAUUGAUUAGAAGAAAAUGUUAUUUAAAAGACAUGAUCAAUACAAGGGCUGGAGAAAUAAAAUCUUGGAGAAACACAGACUAGAACUGAGGAGGAAGACCAUUCAGCGGACGGCGAAUUAAUCUACAUGUGGACCCUGUAGAGACACGUUCACUAACAUUUCCACCCCAACCACUACUGGAUACCAUGGCAACUGCUGUCUCUUGUGUAGACACAAUUUCUGAGAGCCCUUGCAUCAGUCUUCCAAAUCCUCUUACAGGUAGAGAAUCCAGGUAGCUUGACUUAGGUCAUAAAGGUCAGCCCUUGCCAACUGGGCCCUAAUGGAAGGUAGGACUAAGGGGAACAAACGCAAAUGCCAAAACAUUUUAAAAUGUUCAAGAUAACAAAAUGUGAGAAGAAGUUAAGAAAUCUUAACUUUUACCAGUUCUCAAAGAAGCUGAGCCCUCUCACAGACCAGCACCUUUGGCUCACUGAAUCUGUCCUUGUUUUCGUUAUUGCUUUUAUCUUUCCUGUGUCCACUCCAAAACAAGGUAAAAGUCUUUUCAGUCACUGAUCUUAAUUUACUAAAAUGUUUUUAAAUUUAAAUCUACUUAUCAUCAUUUUCUGAGCUAAAGAAUGAAAAUAAAUGUAUUUAACCAGAAACACAUUAACUGGCUUCCUUCUCUGUUUUCUCCCUCUGCAGUUGUGGGAUUAUCAUGUUUCCAAAUAAGAAGCACCUGGCUGGUUCUUUCCUUAAGGUUAAUUAAUAACCCUUGGAGAGAAAAAUAAGCCAAUAUAUUCCAUUUAAUAUGGAUUUCCCUGACAUGAGGAUGAGGCCUCAAAAAUACCUUUGUUUUCAUGUUGCUAAAAGAAGACAGAUACUUGGAUAUCAGUUUUACAGCUGCCGUUCCUCCUUGGGAGGCAGCAAGGACAUAGUGCAUGCCCCCUAGGACACUAAGCAUGCUCGGGGCAAAAAGGCAGAAGCUCUAACUGUGCCUGCAGCCUGCCAUCUUACAGAGAUACUAAGGAAGAGUGGCGUGCCUUCUUUCCGGGAUGACCAGUGUGACCAUGAAUGCCAGGACAGCUGCUGUCAUGAUCAUCUGCCUUGCCUUCAUUCACAAAGCAUAUUUUAUCAAUGGCAUUUUGGAUUCAGACCAUCGAAAGAGGAAAUCAGACAGUAUCUCUCAGCAAACAAAGAGCCCACCUACUAUGUGGAUGGGCUAGCCAGCAAGUCCCAGGAAUCCACCUGCUUCUGCUUCCCCACUGCUGGGAUUACAGGUGCACAUUGCCACACCUGGUUAUUGUAUGGUAAAAUCCGCUCUGGGUCUUCAUGCUUACAUAGCAAGCACUGUGCCAGCCGAGCCAUCUCCCCACACCCUGUAUUUUAUUUUAUUGGCAUGUACUCAUUGUACACAGUCCUGGAUUUCAUAAGGGCGUUUCCAUAAAAGAAUAUAAUGUACUUUGACCAUAGUUAAUAAGAAGGAUGCCUGUAAACAUUCCAAAAAUAACAACACAUGCGUGCGGAAGAUACUAUAGACAUGCUUGGUACAUCUCCAGACUUUAAGAUCCCUGAGAAUAACACUGGCUAAGUGGGUCAGAGGUUUGGAUCAGCUCGCAAGUUGAAAAGUUCAGAGUGGGAAAGAAACAUCGCACUUGACUUGGGGGUGUGCCUGAGCCAGGACAGUCAUCCAAACUCUUCAGAUCUGACUGGGUCUGUGCCCCACAGACACAUAAACCUGGGUCUGCUGCUUCACCACAGUGGGCUGGCUAUGUCUUUUCCACAAGACUUCUUGAUCUCCACCUGCAUGUGGCCUUGAUCUGGCCCAAUGAUACCGGCAGAGUCUCAAGUCUAAUGGACUGUAGAUGUGAAGGCAAGAGAGGCAAGGCCCUGGGACCCACGCUGCACUCUGCUCUUCUGUGUAACUCAGUAAGAAGGCACAAUGUUACUCAUACACGCUUGUCACCCAAGGCAUUUCCAAAGGACUCAAGCCUUGCAGACGGUGACAUUUAUCCACCACUGGCUGUGCUGGAUUUAAACAGAUGACCUUCUCAUGAGAGCCCCAGUGUUUUCUUUCUAAUCCAGUCCACCAAGUCAUUUCCCAUUGCUGCCCUCCUGAUAUGACGCACAGCACCACUCUCCAGAGCGCUGGCCUUUUUAUUGGUUCUCAUAUGUGCAAAGAUCUUCAGAGGAUGGAUUUGCAGCAGAGAUGAGCUAAUAAAGUGCCACUUUUGCAGAAGAGAUGGCACUGGUGAUAUUCUGAGUCCAUAAAUAGCACCCCUUAUAUAAUCCAUUAUUCUCAGUGAGGACCCGUGGGCUUGAGUCUAUUUAUUUUAACUCAUAUUUUUUAUGUCAUCUGGUAAGAUUUAGCCAUAACUGUAACAGUUACAGUCCAAAUAACUGUUCUUCUUAGAACAGGGUUGCAGUGUGCUGCCACAGAGUGUGACAAUGUCUUCUCAUGUAUGGGUCCCACGCUAAUGAAGAGUGGUCCAGGCAGCCCCGGAGCAGGUAGCAUCUCAGAGAUCAUUCCUCAGAGAGACACAGCUGCUCAACCCUCACCCCAAGGGCAGUCAGAAGAUGGAGAGAUCAAAGGGAGUUCAGAGAAAAUGAAAGCACACCCCUAAUUCAAUACAGGAAAAUUGCCAUGACUGGAGUGCUUAGUUCAAUCUUCUAAGAAAACAACAACAGAGAGCAGAAGAAAAAAAAAUGACUAAGAUCGGGUUCUGGCAUCAGGAAUCAGCUUGCCAAGGCGGAAGGCAUACCCGAUGGGGAAGACAGCUCGUUCCCCUAGAUUAAUCAGAGUUCUGAGUCAACUGUAAGUUCCAAGUGUCCCACUGCCAAGAUACAACAUAAGCCACUUAAUUCCUUCCCACAAUCUAGAAUUGUUAGUUGCUAUCCAAGCCAAGUACUCUGAUAAAACCCCUGGAGACAUGAAACCCAUCAAAGGGGGCAGAGUUAUGCCAGGAUGGAUAACCGGAGCUUGGGGAGCAAUGGGACCCUACCUCAUGAAGAGGCUAAAGGGACUCCAUCGAGGGGUGUUGAGGGGAGGCAGUUAUCUUUGUUGGUUGCCUAUUGUCAGCUCCCAAGUCACUUGGGGAUGGGCAGAGAGGCAAAGGGCAGCCCCCUCGGUAAGAAUGGGAAAUUGUGGGCAAACUCUCUCUGUGGGCAAAAAUACACAAAAAAUAGAAAAGGCAACCACACUUCCCAUGGUUACGGUUUCUUUGCAAGUGGGUUGUGGAGAUGAUCAGUUCAAACCUAGACAAAAGGGCAGGAACCUCUGGUUUGGAAAUCUUUGAGGCAGAAUACCUUCCCAUAGUGGUGGAUGCUAAGCACCCCACCCCAUGAGUAACUCUUUAGGGUUGAGAGUUCCCAGGAGGCACAGACAUGACCUGGGAGUGCAAUACACAAGCAUCCAGCAUCACAUUGGGUUGCUUAGUGAGGGAGCCGAGUGCUAACUAAGCCCUUAAGGAAGAAGCAUGAAACCAUUGAGCUCCUACUGGUGCAAGGCACUUUUUUUUUUUUUUUUUUUUUUUUUUUUUUGGUUUUUGGAGGCAGGGUUUCUCUGUGGCUUUGAAGGCUGUCCUGGAACUAGCUCUUGUAGACCAGGCUGGUCUCGAACUCACAGAGAUCCGCCAGCAUCUACCUCCCGAGUGCUGGGAUUAAAGGCGUGCGCCACCACCACCUGGCCACUACCAUCCUCUUUUUAAAACAAAACAAAACAAAAAGUUACCAGGAAGUAGAGCCUAGAACUCAUGAUGGAGUUCUAGGCUGAUGUUGUGAUCUGUCAUCCAAUCUCUGCCCCUCAGCCGCAGGGAUCACAGACCCUUACUCUGACUGGAGCAGAGAGAGAGGAGGAGGGAUUGCAGAUCCCACAGAUUUUCUUCACCAGCGUUUUGUUGCUAAUUGGAAAGACAGGGAAGAGGGAGUGAGAGCCAGAGGGGAGCUCGGUGGCACACAGCUCCUGAUGCCUCAUACUCAGAACUCCUGGGCUGGGCUCUGUGUCCAUGAGGCACAAUAGACUUAAAAGUGUGGUGCAAUAGAGUUUAUUGCUUAAUCCUAUCUGGGGAUCCCCUCCCGCAAGGUUCCUGGGGCUAAAACAUCGUCAUCAGUGUUGAUAUCACUCUACUCCCUGGUAACUUAAAAAAAAAAAAAAAUACUAGCCAAUGUUACCACCCAGAUACAUCAUACAAAAACAUCCUUUCUGCUAAUUUGCAUAAAGCAAACUUCUUCUGAAACAUGGUAAUCACCCCACGUCUCAGGACUCACACUUAAAUAAAGCCAGCACUUAGCAAGCUUAGAAAGGUGCUGGUGCUCUGUGGACACAGGUCUUCGGAAGCUGCCAAAGUCUUCCACGUGCAGGUCUCUGGCACUCCGAUGGGGUGAGGGCCCUUCUGCCGAGGUAGCUGACACAGUCUAGGAAGCUUUCAGCACACAAACCAGCAGCCCACGUUUGCAAGAGCAGAUCUGCUUUUGUAACAGCCUCCAAUGUUUAUGUUCCUGUCGCUACCACACAGUUGUCAGCCCCCCUGGCUCUCCUUCGUUCAAUCAGUCCUCUCCCUUGCUCAAAAGGCUGAUGACUCAGUAGCUGCUUCCAUGUAUCCUGCUGGUUUUAGAUAACCUCCAGGAAUCUGUUGCACCCGUUUGUACCCCCAUGUCAGCUAUUGAUUCAACAGGCAAAUCUCUGACCCUUCCAUAUGCUGGGCACAAUGGCAAGCACGACAGCAGCAAGCAUUUUGAGAGCCUCAGAAGAGCUCAUUUCAAACAGACACUCGCUAUGUACUACUCAGAAGCAUAGAUUCUCAGAAUACAGGUUUCUCUUCCGAAAUACCUGUCCUUCCUUGAUACUCUUCAGUAUUCCUUCCCAUGGAGCCUCCGUCCCAUGGGAGCUCUUCUCUUAUCUCAAAGUCAGAAUAAAAGAGUCCCUUUUCUGUAGUUCACAACACUCAUAGAAGCCGAGGCCAGAAGAAAGAAGACACCUAAGAGUACAGGGCAAGGAGGCCCAGCUUCACAAUCAAAGCUAGAAACAUAUUGGGAGGAUGUGGAUUAAGUCUAGGAAUGAAGAAUGAAGUUGAUUCUAAGAACGUCUUAGAAUCAAUGAGAACCAGGGUAGUUCUUGGGUUUCACAGACUAAGCGAAAAGUAUUUGCUUACUGAGAGGGACAGUCAAUACGUUUUGAUUGACCACACAAGGAAAGACGGGAAUCUGGUAAGGGUAAGGCCACUCCCCUGACCAUAGCUCAUACACUAUUACCGGAGAAAAGAUGGGUCAGGAAGGCAGAAGAUGCUCGUGAACAUUGUAGCUGUAGGAACUGUCAACUGCUUCAGGAAACUUGCCUGAACACUCACAGGCUUAAACAUACACAUAUUCACGUAUGGUAGAUCCAAAAUAGGAUGCUAACAAACACUGUGAGGCGUGAUCUAACCUGAACCCAAAAGAAAGAAAACAGUCCGUGCAAUAGCAGAAAACACUUUACAAAACAAACCUGCUCAGUUUUUCCUAGGUUCUCUUCCAAGACUUGACUAUAGAUGAAAACAUGGCUGUAUUUUCUGUACCCCCCUUCUCAUAUCAUGUACAUAUUCUCAGGCCGCCUUACAGCGUUCUUAAACUUUUCCUAACAUGUAUAUGUUCCUUCUACACUGUUUGUUUUUUGAGUCUCACGAAUGUUUAGAAUGAUCCUGUUUUCUCCUCCUAUACACAGCUCCAUAACUAAUGCCUUCAUGUAUACACAUUUUCCUUUCUCUGAAUUAUUCCCUUGGGACAAAUGCCAGUGUGUGGGGCAGGAAAGAUAAACAAAGCAGGAAUGUUUUAUGGCUGCUGUAGUGCCUUGCCAAAUCAUUCCAGAAAAGAUGCCAGUUCAGGUUCGCCACUGGAGAUGUCUGAUUAUCCCACAUGCUCCCAGUGACACAGUGCUAGGCAUCCGUCAUGGACAAACUCUCCACAACACACCCUCUUCCCAACAAGGCACCAGGAAACUUGGUCUACAGCUGCCAUUCAUCUGCCCAAUGUUGUAAUUGGGGGGGGUAUUUUUAAUUGACAAGGAUAUUUUCAUUACAGCAAAACCAAUUUUCUCGCUUUUGAAUGUACAUAAAAUUAUCAUUUCUGAG
rnacentral:lncRNA from 1 species